CGGUGGCGCCGCAGGGCAGCCGUGCCCUGAGGGGACGGCGGCGGGGCCCGCCCGGAGCAGGGGAGGAGGGGAAGGCGCGUUUCGCCGCCAGCCCCUGUCUCCGAGGGCUGCUGUCCCCGCCGGGCACGGCCUCUCCCGGCCUCCCAACAGGAGAGCGAGGAGGGAGAGCCUGCUUGCUGUACGGCGAGCGAAGCGAGGCGCAGGCAGCCGACCCAGACCGGCAGCCCUCAGCUCUGACGCGCUACCUCACGCCCCCGCCGCCCUCAGCAAUCCUCACUUCGGCCCCGGGGAACGCUGUCCCCACGAGCUGUGCGAAACUGCAGAGCCACAAAGCCAGAGGGAUCCUGAAGAGCCAGCCUGGAAGGAGGCACGGCUGCACAUGAAAUACCAUACAACCUAACCUGCCCUCAAAACCACAGAGCCGUAGAAAGCUUUGCUACCAGCCCUUCUACUCCUCCAGCCCACAGAAGGAACCCUGCCCUCGCCUGUCCUCCUACAUUUGGCUACGACAUUAACAUGGCAAUUUGGUGACGAUGAGGGAAUCACCUUCAACAAUUUUACAGGCAAUAAAGCUCUAAAGAUGGGUUUGAAUUGUCAAAAGGGAACUUCUUCACAGGGUACCUGGCCCAGCCCAGUGUCUUAGGCAGCUGAAGACUUUCCAUGAGGAGAUUCCUGCAGGUUUCUGUGAAGAGCUCUCCCACAUCCCUUGACACCAGCCAUCACUAUCCAGUCAGAAGACAGGCCUGAGGUGAAAAGACUGCCUUCUUCCUUCUGCCAGAGAAAUCCUGUUUCACUCUGGCCCAGGCUGUAAACUGAAAUAUGUGCUUCCCGUGCCGUGGCUCAAGCUUCCCAGGAAAACUUCAACAACAUCCAAAGUAAUAACUGAGCACAAGCAUCACAGGCUAAGACCAGGCUUACUGUGGGAAUGGCUGGAUGCUGGCAGAGAGAUUGGCUGCCAUGGGAGGUGAGGACAGCCAAGUCAAACAACCGCCGUCUGGUCCCAUGUCCUCCUCCUCCUCCUCCUCCUUGUGAGCAGCAGCCCUCCCACUGCUCACCAUGAGGCCAGGAUUGGGGUGCUCUCAUCAUCGGCCCCACUAGCCAAGAGGUGAGGGACCCCUUCCACGCCUGACUUUGCCAGGACUUUGGGAUCCAAUUUGCCCCAGCAUGAUGCUCAAGUGCACCUGACUGCAUGUACUAUAAAUCACUCUCACUUUCCUACUUGAGCCCUGGGAAUUUGCACACAAAAAGCCCCAUUAGCCUCAGUCAAAGGAAAUUUAGAUUGCCGGUGUUAAAUAACCAGAAGAAGACAGGUAAGCUGUGAGUAGAACAUGUUUCCCACUUAAAAGUGAAACGUUACUGGUGUCAUAGGAUUUUUUUUCUAACCUGUUUAUAACAGUUGUACUGCUCUGUUUGCUGGGUUUUCACAAGAAUGUUGCAAUUGAACUUCUGUAAUGACAGGAAAUUGAAUUUCAGGAAAGGUAAAAUGUCAUGCUAUUUUUUUCAGUUUUAAAUAUUUUUACAGAAGGUGUUCAGCGUUAUUCAUAGAAACAUGAUUUCACCAUCACCAAAUUAAUUUAAUUUGGUUUAUGCUGCUAAUAAUAUUAACCAACCGGAUGAUAAUGGCAUAGAGCUACAAAUAGAACCACUCCUCUACAAGUCCUCACCCUCUUCGUGGUUUGAGCUAUCAGGUCCUCUGUGGUAAAGAGUAGGUCAUAGUUAAUUACCUUCAACUAACUCCUGAUUUAUUGAAGCACAAUCAAGGUUCAACUUACCCCUUGCUUUAUAUGCUGGACUGUUUGAACCAUUAGUCUGUAACCCUGCUGAUUUAAACAGGCUAGGAAGUUCCAUUGUAGGAGGGAAAAGAGAGGCCAAGUGGAACAAGCACAGGUAGAAAUACAUUCUUGACAUGCGUUUGCUUGUCAAGGCACGUACCUGUGCUUUACAUAUGUCAGUCACAGGGGAAAUUCAGAAGUUCUUGUGUGAAAGCGCAGAAGUAUCAGUAUGCAAAUAGGGAAGUGUGACUAAGUAGUCUCACUGCUCCCAGUAUUUCACAUGAAAAGUGCCAGUACUCACAGUGCAAAUGUAGCAUGCUGUGUAUGCCCUAUCAAGCCGAGUGUAUGUUUUGGCGUGUAUGGAUGCAUCAAAUCUAAGCCAUAAGGAGCACUUUUCCUUAGUUAAACAAUGUUUGAAUUAGUUGCUCCUUGUGAUUUCCUACUGAAUUAAAUCUUAUGGUGUAAAAGGGGUUUUCAGCUUUCAGGAUGGAUCAGAGCUGCCUCUGAGACGUUUGCAGUCAGAAAAAGAUAUUCAAAUGCACACAAUGCUCAGGAGGAAAACAUCCUAGGAAAAGGGAUUCAGCAGCAGCAGCAAGAAGGAAGUGGGUUGGUUUGAAGCAGAAAUUUCUCACCUUUUUCCAUUUGCAGAGCUGAGAGUAGCUAACUCUUGUCUCCUGCCAGGGGGCUGGGAGACCCCUGAGCAGCAAACCCAGAGGUGGUCCAGGAGCCCACAAAGACAAUCUGAAAACCAGUGUGGGGUAAUGAGCUUUGCAGGUGUGUUCAGAGUGAUUCUAUCCCAUGCUGGGGACCUGUAUGUCUGGGUGCAUGAAGGUGACAGCGCCACCAGGGCUAUGGAGGAGGGUUUGGGUCUGGAAGCAGGAGGCGAAGGAGAGAGCUGGCAGGUGGGGAGAUGCUCAGCCAAGAAAGAUGAGAGAAGGGAUUCAUAAUAAGGUGCAAUAAGAAACAUGUUGGAUUUCAGAGACUGACACAUGCUGUCAAUAAACCUGUGUGUUUUAGAGAGAAAAGGAAUGAAAAUUAAUUUUUAAGACCCUAAAAAAAAGAAUAUUUUGGAGCAAAGAUGUAUUUCAUUUGGUUAUAAUCUGCUGAAUUAAGAUAUAUUUCAACUUGACUGAAGACUCCCAAGCACAGCUCAUAGAGGAAACCUGAUCACUUUUGGCAGAGGGAAGAAAAACCGUCUGUUAGAACUAAGUUCUCUCAGCUGGCAUGUCUAUUGCCAGAGAUCAAUGAAAACCAGAGGAUAAAUAAAAGCAGAUUUUGAAAAUGAACCGAUAGACAUUCAGGCACCAAUUUUUUUUUUCUAUGUGUCUUCUUUUUCUGCCUUGGAGAAAAUGAAAUUGAAAUGUAU